GGUCCAGUAGCAUAGUGGUUAAUGCAUCAGGGUAUUAUAUUAUGACCACACAUGGGCUUCAUACUGAGCACCCUUGUUUGACUCAAGGCUGGACCA